UACGUAGGGUGCGAGCGUUGUCCGGAAUUAUUGGGCUUAAAGAGCUUGUAGGCGGUUUGUCGCGUCUGCUGUGAAAAUCCGGGGCUCAACCCCGGACUUGUAGUGGGUACGGGCAGACUAGAGUGUGGUAGGGGAGACUGGAAUUCCUGGUGUAGCGGUGGAAUGCGCAGAUAUCAGGAGGAACACCGAUGGCGAAGGCAGGUCUCUGGGCCACUACUGACGCUGAGAAGCGAAAGCAUGGGGAGCGAACAGG
rnacentral:rRNA from 1 species